rnacentral:snRNA from 1 species
GGAUGUGAGGGCGAUCUGGCUGCGACAUCUGUCACCCCAUUGAUCGCCAGGGUUGAUUCGGCUGAUCUGGCUGGCUAGGCGGGUGUCCCCUUCCUCCCUCACCGCUCCAUGUGCGUCCCUCCCGAAGCUGCGCGCUCGGUCGAAGAGGACGACCAUCCCCGAUAGAGGAGAGGACCGUUCUUCGGUCAAGGGUAUACGAGUAGCUGCGCUCCCCUGCUAGAACCUCCAAACAAGCUCUCAAGAACAUCUCUGACCCAUUUCCCAUUACUCAUUCCACACUGGACCCUUCAUUAUGGCUCACAUAGGCCAUGUACACUUCUACAUUGGGCCCUUUGC